GACGAACGCUGGCGGCGUGCUUAACACAUGCAAGUCGAACGAAGUGGCGAACGGGUGAGUAACGCGUAAUCAACCUGCCCUUCAGAGGGGGACAACAGUUGGAAACGACUGCUAAUACCCCAUACGGAAGGAGGGGACUGCGUCUGAUUAGCUAGUUGGGGGGGUAACGGCCCACCAAGGCGAUGAUCAGUAGGCGGGCUGAGGGGAUGAACGGCCCAAUUUGGACUGGAACCCGGGCCAAACCCCUACCGGAGGCAACAGGUGGGAAUUUUUCGGAAUUGACGAAAGGCUGACCGGGCAACGCCGGGUGAGGGAUGACGGCCUUUGGGUUGUAAAGCUUUUUUAAUCGGGGCGCGGUACCUGACUAGAAAGCCACGGCUAACUACGUGCCAGCAGCCGCGGUAAUUC
rnacentral:rRNA from 1 species